UGAAUUCUGGAAUGUAGCUGAGAUAGUU
rnacentral:piRNA from 1 species